GAUGAACGCUGGCGGCGUGCCUAAUACAUGCAAGUCGAGCGAACAGACGAGGAGCCUGCUCCUCUGACGUUAGCGGCGGACGUGUGAGUAACACGUGGAUAACCUACCUAUAAGACUGGGAUAACUUCGGGAGACCGGAGCUAAUACCGGAUAAUAUAUUGAACCGCAGGGUUCAAUAGUGAAAGACGGUUUUGCUGUCACUUAUAUAUGGAUCCGCGCCGCAUUAGCUAGUUGGUAAGGUAACUGCUUACCAAGGCGACGAUGCAUAGCCGACCUGAGAGGGUGCUCGGCCACACUGGAACUGACACACGGUCCAGACUCCUACGGGAGGCAGCAGUAGGGAAUCUUCCGCAAUGGGCGAAAGCCUGACGGAGCAACGCCGCGUGAGUGAUGAAGGUCUUCGGAUCGUAAAACUCUGUUAUUAGGGAAGAACACAUGUGUAAGUAACUAUGCACGUCUUGACGGUACCUAAUCAGAAAGCCACGGCUAACUACGUG
rnacentral:rRNA from 1 species